GGACUACCAGGGUAUCUAAUCCCGUUCGCUCCCCUAGCUUUCGCACCUGAGCGUCAGGUACUCCCCAGGACACUGCCUUCGCCUUCGGUGUUCCUCCGGAUAUCUACGCAUUUCACCACUCCACCCGGAAUUCCGUGUCCCUCUGAAGCCCUCAAGUCGUCUAGUUUUCAAAGCCCUUGCCCAGUUAAGCUGGUCACUGUCACUUCAAACUUUGACGACCGCCUGCGUGCCCUUUACGCCCAGUAACUCCGGACAACGCUUGCCCCCUACGUAUUACCGCGGCUGCUGGCAC
rnacentral:rRNA from 1 species